CAGAUAGCUAGCUAGAUGAGGCAAAAAAAAAUACUGUAGUGGAAAGUUAUGUGAGCUGUAAAAGAGGUGUUUCUAGGAGAUUAUGCUAGAUUAGCUAUUUGGGAGUCGCUAGCUAUUUGAUCUCUCUCCUUGAUAGCCAAUGAAAUUCUUUGUAGACUAGCUAUUUGAGAACUAUAGAGGACGCCCUGAGUGUUGGUCCAAUUUUUUUCGUCACUUCAAGCCUGUUUUCUUUUUUUUUUAGUUUCACAGAGCUUGGAAAAAGGCCGUGUUACGGUCACCCUCCCUCAACCAAGAGAUUCUUGACCUUUGACGCUCCAUCGUUUCCUCUCUAGCCAAAACCUCAUUUAACUUGGCCAGAUCUCAUGCUCCCUAGGUGUUAGCCCUCGAUACAGGGUACCAUUCCUCUCAUUCUCAAGCUCUUUCCUCAAUUCUUGCGGUUGUUUCUUCACCGACCCGAAGAAAUCCCGGUCCUAGCGUUUUAGUGAUGACUGCAAUGAGGAGAGAGCAUCAACAACACUUGACAGGUCACCAUCUUCUGGUCUAGGGUCCCAAGACUGAUUAACAAAGUCCCGGUACUGUCCAUGCGACACUUGACAGGUCACUUCAAGCCUAUUUUUUGUGUUUUAGAUGCAGUACUAUAUUUUAUCAGGAUGUUGUAUAUUUUGCAAUGACUAUAUACUAUAUUGCAAGUGUAUGUUUCAAAUAUUUCAGUUGUUUUAAAUCUUAUACUCUUAUAAAGCAAAACAUACAAUUUGUCCAACUAGGCAAUACACAUUCUAACAUAUUUAUAUUUCUUCUUUAUACCCGCAACAACGCGCGGGGAAUCUUCCUAGUGUGUCUUAAUUUUUUAUCUAGAUGUUGCA
rnacentral:lncRNA from 1 species